rnacentral:rRNA from 1 species
CCUCUCGGGGGUAAGCGGGCAGAACUUGCAAGUAUUGAUAGAAAGAUUCAGACUUAAAUUAUUUGAUAGCUGAGAGUAUUUGUUGAAGUUGUUCGUUCGCGAACUGACUGAUUUGUAUUCUUUGAUCUAUUAAAUUUGCGUCGCAUUUCUUUUUAUCAUCCGGAUUGUAUGCAACUGAGUUGGUAGUCUUAGGUACUUUGAUACUGCAAAUCCUUGUGGUUUGAGUCUUAGUUUCCGACUAUUUUUGCGGUUGUUGUUGGCGAACUGGCGUUUGACGCGGUCAAGUAUUUACACGAGCAGUGUAUAUUGUAUAUGCGGACGAGUAAUCGUAGUAUGUAUUAUGUACUGGUUGUCGGUGUGAAUAAUUUGGCACGGUUCAGUAUUACAAUCUAAAGCAUGCGUGNUCUGCCUGU